ensembl:snRNA U6 U6 spliceosomal RNA
GUGCUCAAUUCAGCAGCACGUAUACUAAAAUUGGAAUGAUACAGAGAAGAUGACCAUGGCCCCUGUACAAGGAUGACAUGCAAAUUCCUGAAGCAUUCCAUAUUUUU